rnacentral:rRNA from 1 species
UACGUAGGGGGCAAGCGUUGUCCGGAUUUAUUGGGCGUAAAGAGCGUGUAGGCGGCCAUACAGGUCCGUUGUGAAAACUGGAGGCUCAACCUCCAGACGUCGACGGAAACCGUAUGGCUAGAGUCCGGAAGAGGAGAGUGGAAUUCCUGGUGUAGCGGUGAAAUUCGUAGAUAUCGGGAGGAACACCGGUGGCGAAGGCGGCGACCUGGGUCGACACUGACGCUGAGGCGCGAAAGCGUGGGGAGCAAACAGG